rnacentral:lncRNA from 1 species
AGGCAGACAGCGGCGGCGAGGCGCGCAGCGGCGGCGCAGGCGCGGAGAGGCGCUGGCGCCGGCUCUGGCGCGGAGAGGUGCAGGCCCAGGCUCCACUCCCCAGCUGUGAAAGGGUAAGAACCGAGGGUGGCUGAGACUCGGGGUUGUUCAGGGCGGGGUGGGCUCUGGACCCAGCAGGCCCGGCACCCAGGUCAGGGCUCCAGGGGAGGCCAGGUGGGCGAAGGCCAAGAAGGGGCUGGGGCUGGUCAGGAAGGGCUCCUGGUGACCAGAGCACUUUGCGUGAGCCAGCGUGGGAGGAAGGUGGGCUAGAUGAGCCAGGGAGGCGCCGGGAGGGGCCUUGGCAGAGGCGACCCCCUCCGUCACCCCCAGGCCACUGAACCCUGGGUAGCGAGAACCGACAGGGGAGGCUGCAGACAGAGGAGUGGAGGCUCCCCGGCUUUGGGGGCUCUGAGUAGAAGCAUCUAGGGGGUCCCUCAAGAGGCCCCCAAACGCUUCCCCAUGGUGAGAAAAGAAGGCGCAGAGAGGGGCACGGCGCCGGCGCAGAGGGGCACACAGCGAGAUUUGCUGUGAGUUCUUUUAUUGCCCCAAGUGUACCUCAUCUUGGUAGAUUUCUAUUGGCUUUAAAAAUGUGUGUGUUUUGCUGUUGGGGAGUGGGGUGUUAUACGGAUGUCAGAUUUUGCUGGUUGACUGUUCAGAUCUUUUGUAAAUCCUUGCUCCUUUUCUGCCUAGUUUCACUCUGUCACUUACACUAGAGUGCGGUGGCACGAACAUGACUCACUGCAGCCUUGACUUCCUAGGGUCAAGUACUCCCCCUGGCUUAAUCUCCUGAGUAGCUGGUACUAUAGGUGUGUGCCGCCACACCUGGCUAAAUUUAAAAUUUUUUGGAGAGAUGAGGCCUUGCUAUGUUGCCCAGGCUCGAACUCCUGGCCUCAAGCUAUCCUUUGUUUUUGCCUCCCAGAGUUCUGGGAUUACAGGCAUGAGCCACUGUGCCCGGCCUCUGCCUAGUUUUAACAGUUGCUAAGAGGAGGAUGUUGAAGUAGAUGUCUUCUUGGUGGGUUAAUCCUUUUGUCAUUAAGCAGUUGUUAUGGUCACUUCCUUUUCACCCCAUUGGUGAAGGAGGGGUCCCUGCCCUAAAGUGUAGGAGAUGGCCGAACAUGACACCUGGCGUGGAUGGAUGAGAUUGACAGCAGUGUUUUAGUCGCAUAUACCCACAGCUCGGAGGAGGACACUGCAUGCCACACAGGGUUUUCUGCCUCCUGCUAAGCCAAUUUAUACAUUCCAAGAAAAUCUUCCAUUUCAUCCAGGUGAAACGGAACCUACUGGAAUGAAGCUGGCCUCCCAUGGAAUGAAGCUGGCCUCCCGUCUCCUUGAUUUGAAGCAGCUUCUCCACGUUGGUUAUUAUGCCAUUUUUCUAAAUCUAACAUUUUAAAAUUUGUGCCUUUUCUUUCUCUUUUGCUUGACUUCUCAGAGGUUUUUUUAACGGUCUUUUCAAAGAAGUGGUUUUGGGUUUUAUUUAUCAAGUCUACUUUUAUUAUGGCUGUUUUAAAAUUAAAUACAUUUAUUUCUUGUUUCCCUU